rnacentral:rRNA from 1 species
GACCUCAAAUCAGGCAAGAAUACCCGCUGAACUA